rnacentral:lncRNA from 1 species
CAUAGGGUGGACCAAAGGCUUCAAGGCCACCGACUGUGAAGGGGAGGAUGUGGUGGACAUGCUCAGAGAAGCCAUCAAGAGGAGAAAUGUAGGCCAUGUGUUGAGUCUCAUGCCUGACCUUGCCCCUUUCCCCUAGGCCCUCUGCUCUGCCACCCUCUGCCCAGUCCCCGUGACUCCUCCACAUCCUGCUUCCAGUAGAACUUCCUCCUUUGCAGGAGUUUGACCUGGACAUAGUUGCGGUUGUGAAUGACACAGUGGGGACCAUGAUGACCUGUGGCUAUGAAGAUCCUAAUUGUGAGAUUGGCUUGAUUGCAGGUAAGUGGUUAGAUAGUUGCCUGGACUACUAUGUUGAGAGUAGUUCUAAGGCCAGGUCAUAGGCAAGGGAAAAAAUGGUGGUUUACAGAUGUCACAUGUUUGCUAAUCCCAUCCCAGUCCUCAAGAGAUUCUCACACAGCAAGAGGUGGUGCGGGUGGGGCAACUCACUAUUUCUCCAUUAUGCAGAUGCUUUGUCCAAGGCAGAGAAGAAAUUAAUUAAGAUCGGGACUCCAGGUUGCCUAAUUUUGAAAUCUCUACUUAGUAUCUUCUUCCAUUAAGGGUUCUAAGUCAGGUUCAUCCUUUUUGUUGAGGAAGGAGAUGACAUAGAAAGAAGGGAUUUUUUUUUCAAAUGAUGGCUUUGGGACAGACUUUCUUAGGAAGAAAGAGACCAGAAUUGAAUCACUUUGGACCCAAUGUGCACCAACUUGUUUCUCUGGAUUCUUCUAGUUCUUAGGGUACAUAGGAAGGGGAUGAGUUGGAAAGAAACUGAGAAGAGGGGAAGAGAGUGGCCUGAGAUGAUACAGACAUUUUAGGGACCUUUGGAAGAAAUUUGGCAGUGAUUAAGGCCAAGGUGGAUUCCAAAUAGGGACGACCUUCUCUAAGAGGUUGAGGGACACGUGGUUGAAGCCAUCUCAGCAGAUCUGCAUCUCUUUGUUCUGCCUGCUGCUUAUAUUCAAGGUGCCCAGAUGACCCUCUGGAACAACUUCCCCAGACCAGCCAGCUGAGUACAGAGCUGGAUUCAUCCAGUCCCGUGGUGCUGGGGAUUGAACCCAGGGCCUUGUGCACUUGCGCAUGUGAAGCAAGCACUCUACCAACUGAGCUCUAUCCCCAGCCCUCCAAUCCUGAUUCUUAUUCACUGCCCCACGCUGCCCAAGACCUCAUGGUGUCUUAGAGAACUAAAUUCCCUUUGCAAUUUCUUCUAGGGACAGGAAGCAACAUGUGCUACAUGGAGGAGUUGCGGAACAUUGAGCUGGUGGAUGGGGAUGAGGGCAAGAUGUGUAUCAACACAGAGUGGGGAGGAUUUGGAGACAAUGGCUGCAUAGAGGACAUCAGGACCCAGUACGACAAGGAGGUGGACGAGGGGUCCUUGAAUCCUGGCAAACAGAGGUGAAGAGGGUGGAUAUGGACACUUACACAGGGUGUGCAGGGAGCAACUUUACAGGGCCUAAGGGCGGGUGCUAUUUCUGUAUCGUUGACAUGAUAGCUUUGCAUGUUUAUUAUAACUCUCCAUCAGCUGUCAAUGCAAUGAAAGAAAAAUAUGAUGUUUCCCACAGGUAGAAGGAAGGGGUCUCUUUUUCUGAUUUCCAGAAGGCACUGUAAGGGCUAGUCUUGGCUCUGGAAGCAAGGUAGAGCUGUCAGAGGUCUACUCACUGGGGCUGGGGGCAGAGCAGGGGUGUGCUCGCUUAAUGAGUUCUCUGAGAUGGACGCUUAAUCAGUCCACUUUAGAAAUCGACAUCCUUGGUCUUUUAAGAUCUGCUACCAGGUUGGUGAUCUCUGGUCUGGGGGACAAGAAAGAGGGCCCCUGUGGUGGAUGGGGAGGGAGGGCUUGUUCUCAUGGGCAACAGCAUGUCACAUCAUGGGUCACCAUCCAUGGCGAUGUAUAUACCAAUUACUCAUCACACUAAAAACACUAGGAAAAAUGACUUUUAAAAAUUGGGACUAGAUUUUCUCUUGCACUGUGAUAUGCCUGCUGGAGUGGGGGAGAGAGUGGUAGAUUGGGCUGUUAUAUAAGGCUUUGAUGAUUGACCUGGGCCCACAAACUGGAACAGGGGGUGGCGAACCCCUUCUGCAGAGCACCAGGUGGUAACUGUUUUUGCAGGGCAAAGGGUCUUUAUUACAAUCAAGACUCGUAUCUGCAUAUGCAAAUUAAGGGGAAAUACAGAUAUAUUGACACUGGGAGGGUGGGCAGGUAGGAUGUGAUGAGAUACCUGGGCCAGGGACACCUUCGUGACUGUUCCUAGAAUGUUGUCUAGAAGAGGCUCAGGCAAGGCUAGGACCAGCCCUUGGGCCCCUUGCCUGCCUUUGGCAUCAGUCUUUGUCCCUGGAAGGCAGGUGAGCUUUGGUGAGGUCAGCUAAACAGGAAUUGCUCCAAAAAGAAGGUAACUUAUCUUUGUUUUGGAUUUUGUUUUUGGUACCAGGGUUUGAACCCAGGGGUGCUUUACUACUGAGCCACAUCCCCAGCCCUUUUUGUUUUUAUUUUGAGACAGGGUCUCCCUAAGUUGCUGAGGCUGGCUUUGAACUUACGAUCCUCCUACCUCAGCCUCUGGAACUGCUGGGAUUACAGGCAUGUGCCACUGCACCUGGUGGGACCUUAUCUCUGCAUCCCAAAUAUCAAGGCUCUUCUUGAGGGGCAGAGUCCUUGUGCCAUAAUUUUGUGUUUGUAUCCACUGGGGCCCAUGUUUUUGGACAGUUUAAGGGCCAAUCACUUGAAUCGGCCUCGCAGUCACCAUUAUUCUUCUGUCCUGGUGUUUGGUUUCUUAGGCUGAAAAGAUCUCGUAUCCUUUAGAGAGCAGGAGGCCAGCAUGGAAGUCUUAGGAAUGCUCCUAUCUCCAUUGGCCUCUGCAGCCAAUGGGAGCCCAGCUCUGCACGGUUGUUGGGGAUACCCUGCAGCCAUUGUUCACCUACCUGGGCAGAGUGUCUUCUGGGUGCCUCGCUGCUUCCCAAGCCCCCUUUCCCCUUGCUGUUUGCCCUCCAGGAGCUCACACUCUGGUGGAAAGAGAGAAGAGCUAACAUUUUUUGUGCACAUUUUUGUGAAGGUAUUUUCAAUGUACAUGCAGGUAGAUGAAUUCUAGUGGAAUAAAUGGCUCCAUACAAAGCCAAGGAGACCCUCUAAUAGAUCCGAUUUGCAGCAAGUGCAGAGAGAAUGGGCUUUGGGGCCAAGAGCAGGACUAGGUUUUGCUCAGUGCAUCCAGCGCCCCAGAUGCUUGCCUUCUGUUAUUCUGUGGGUCCCUGAUUGGCAGGGGGGCUCCCAGUCCUUGCUCACCUCUCAGCGGGAUGCGGGAGAGCUGGACUGGUUCCUGGUGCACGUGGCGGAAGCCUGUCUUCCCACAGCACACUCUUUUCUGCCUUUCAUCUGGAGAGAGCCUCUCCAGGCCACCACUGCCCCAGGCCCCCCCUGAACCAUCGGCAACGGCAUGCCUUCCACACCUGGCCCAGGGUGCAUUUUAGAAGCCACUUGCCAUCACUGAUUUUCCUGUCCUUACCCACUUAUCCCUGUUCUCCAAACAGAUAUGAGAAAAUGACCAGUGGCAUGUACCUGGGGGAGAUCGUGCGGCAGAUCCUAAUUGACCUGACCAAACAGGGUCUCCUCUUCCGAGGGCAGAUUUCAGAGCGACUCCGGACCAGGGGCAUCUUUGAAACCAAGUUCCUGUCCCAGAUUGAAAGGUGACGUGUGAUCAAGUUUACCUGCUGUGUGUGAAACGUUCCAAAUGGGAUGUGAUGUUAUCAUGCCAGGCUCCGGUAGGGUUCAGAAUUUAAAAUUAAAACAGGAUGGCCCUAUUUGGGUGGGGGCUGAUGCCUGGGCUGCUCCCUCUCCCCAGCUGUGUAAGAUCACAGUCCCAAGAUCCCUGAGUGUGGCUUGAGUGGGUUCAGAGUCCUUAGCAGAAAUGACUAACUCCAGGAGUUAGAUUAAGGCCAAAAAGUAAUCUUCUUUUAUUCCCGAAAUGAUGAUCUGUCCAUAAUACAAAAGUCUUACAAAAAAAAAUCACCCAUAUGUUCACUACCAAAUAAUGAUAUUUUGCUGGGUGUGGUGGUGCAUGCCUAUGAUCCCAACAUCUUGGGAAGCUGAGGCAGGAGGAUUGCAAGUUCAAAGUCAUCUCAGCAACUUAGUGAGACCCUGUCUCUAAAUAAAAUAUAAAAAAGGGCUGGGGAUGUGGUUCAGGGGUUAAGCACCCCUGAGUUUAAUCCCUGGUACCCAAAACAACAACAAUAAACAAAAAAUAAAAACAAAAAACCAAAUAUAAGUUUUGAUUUUUAUAUAUUGUAUUUCCUUUUAAGUUCUUGAAUACAUAUAAAGAUGUUUUCACAAUUGCAGUCAUAUUAUAUAUAUCAGAGGUAGAGGAAAUAGCAAAAUGAACUCAGUGUUUCUAUCACCACCAUCAUUGAUGAUCAAUUCAUGACUGAACUGGGUUCAUCCGUACAAUUUUGUACCCACCUCUGGGUUAGCUUAAUUUGAAAUAAAUCCCAUGUUUUAUGUCAUCUCAUAUAUAAAUAUUUCAAAUGUAUUUCUAAAAUAUGAGUUCACUACAAAAGCAUGACCACAGCACCUUUAUCAUGCCUGAAUAGGAAAUGAUAAGCCUUAAUCUCAAAAUAUCUUCUAGUGUUCUCACUUCCUGAAUUGCCCAAAGAUAGUGAUUUAUAUAGUUGUUUGCAUCUGUAACAAGGUCCAUGCAUGGCAUUUGGCUGAUAUGUUUCUAAACUCUGUUUUUACCUACAGCUUUUCCCACCCUCUCAUUUCUCCUUAAAACAUAUUUGUUGAGGAAGCUAUCAUCUUAUGUUUCCUAUAUUCUAGACUUUUCUGAUUAUAGCAAUUAGCAUUUUUCUCUCUCUCUUGUAUUUUCUGAAAAACUUACAGCUAGAUCGAGAUGCUUGGUUAAUUCAGUGUUGAAUUUUGGACAAGCAGAUUUGGUAGGUGGUCCUGAGCUGUCUGUCUUUCUUCUGUGAUAUCACCAGUGGUUGAUGUUCAUUGCUCCAGCCUCCUGAGUAGCUGGGAUGAUAGGCAUGCACCACCACACACAGCUAAUUUUUUUUAACCAUACAAAUAUUAUUCACUUAUUUUUUUAAAAGUUUUAAGUGUAUGGAUAAACAAAAGGAAGAAAAUAAGAUGCUGGUAAUCCUACAACAUCUGAAUAGCUUUCCUUCUGUUUUCUUGUUUUUGAGCGUGUGGUGGUUUCUUUGUUUGUUUUAUUUUAUGACAUUAAAACAAACUAAAAACCAAGGGCAAACAUAAUAUUUUAUAAUCUAUUUUUUACUGUCAUGAAUAUUUUCCAUGGCAUUAAAUAUUCUCAUAAAACUUAACAAUCUUGCUAAGUUUCUGAGGCUGGCCUCAAACUUGUAAUCCUCCUGCCUCGGCCUCCUGAGUUGCUAGGAUUAUAGGGACGCACCUGCUCAAUCCUUUUUCUGGCCACGUAAGUUAUUUCACAGUUAUUCUUUCUUGACAACACACAUCUUCCCUGAGUAUCUCUGAGACAGUCAAGGAUUAGCUUCACAUUGUUUACUUUGAAAUUCAGAGCUCUGUGUAAGUAUCACCUGUUACCACUAGUUUCCUGGGAAAUAAUUAGGGUCUAGACUUGAGGCCAGUCUGUCCCUGUGAUGAGAGUUUUUCUGCAUAAAUUUAGAGUCCUAUUUGGUGCUCGCCCCUUUUCUUAUUUGGCACCAGGGAUUCAAACCAGGAGUACUUAACCACUGAGCUAUUCCCCAGCCCUUUUUUAAUAUUUAACUUAGAGACUGGGUCUCGCUGAGUUUCUUAGGGCCUCGCUAAGUUGCAGAGACUGGCUUUGAACUUGCAAUCCUCCUGCCUCAGCCUGCUGAGCUGCUGGGAUUACAGGCGUGCACUAUCACACCCAGCUACGUAUUUUAUCUUCAUCUGUUCCCUUUCUCAUUGAAUGUACUCAGCCCUGUGCUGGCUUCGGCUAAGAAUAUAGCUCUAUUGUAGUUAGGAAGAGAAAGCAGAUAAUCAGAAAAAGUUAAGCAGAGGGACUAGGGUUGUGGCUCAGUGGUACAGCACUUGCUGUGAAGCACUGGGUUUGAUAUAAAUAAAUGAAUAAAAUAAAGGUCUGUCAACAACUAAAAAAUUUUUUUAAAAAAAGUUAAGCAGAAAGAAAAUUGGGCUCCCGAUGAAUGGGGGCAGAGUCCUGGAGCUGGCCCUUGGGAGAGUGCUAGAGUUGGUGGGAGGGGGCUUGUGUUUGAACCUCUCUUCUCUGCUGUGUGAGAGGGCAGGUCUCUAGCACUCUGAACCCCAGACUCUUCUUCUAAAAAGUGGGCCUCUGGUAUAUUGGUUGCUGACUCUAACAUUAGCGCCUAGCGAGAUGAGGGGUGUGAGCAUGCCUAACACCAGAGGUGCUCACGCUUUGCUCUUUAAAGAUGAUGGAACUUCUUGGGCUGGUGGAGCCUCUUGAGUCUCAGCUUCUAAGCAUUCUGUUCCAGCUUCGCCUUUGCCUGGAUCGUUUUCUCCUUCUUCCUGCCAGGACAUGCGUGGGGGGCAGUGGGAGUGUGGUCAAGCUGCCCAGGUUCCAGAGCCCCAGCAAACGGGGGGCUGACACCCUCCUCUGCUUGCCCACAGCGACCGGCUGGCCCUCCUCCAGGUCCGGAGGAUCCUGCAGCAGCUGGGCCUGGACGGCACGUGUGAGGACAGCAUCGUGGUGAAGGAGGUGUGUGGAGCCGUGUCCCGCAGGGCGGCCCAGCUCUGUGGCGCAGGCCUGGCUGCCAUCGUGGAAAAGAGGAGAGAAGACCAGGGGCUGGAGCACCUGAAGGUCACCGUGGGCGUGGACGGCACCCUGUACAAGCUGCACCCGCAGUGAGUGGCCCUGGGAGCGGGGAAUGGGGUGGGGCAGGAGCUGUGCUGGUGGCCACCGUAGGAGAGGUGCCCCCGCCCUUGGCUGGCAGGGGGCUGGCACGGGUCGGGAGGACAGGGUCAAAUCAGAGACAAGAGGGGAGUCCGGGUGCCUCUGCUUCUUGGUGGCACCGUGUGGGAAUAUUAGCCAACCUCUCCAAACCCCAGGCUUCUCAUCUGUGACAGGCCAGCCCCAGUGAUCCCUACCUCUUAGGGCAAAAUGCAGGUGGAUUAAAUGAAUUAAUUUGUGCCAAGUGCUCUCUGCACCACACUUGAAAACCAUGUUAUUAUAUUCCCACUUGACCCCGCAGGGUAGUAAAGAGACCUGAUUAUUUUGCAGGGCACAGAGCUCUUGUCAAAUAUGAGCUGGUGAUAAUUUUCUUAGCUCAGAGUCCGGGGACAGAAGGACGAAAAGCCCCUGUUGCAAAACGUGGGUUUGACUCUUGGCUCCACCCAGUGGAGGCUGGGAGGCCUCCGGCUGCUUUGCACCCUCUUUGAGCCUUAGUUCUUUUUGUAGAAUGAGGACCGAAAUCUUACCUACCUCAUACGUUGUCGUGAGGAUUAGUUUUAAAUAGCUUUAAUAACGAAAGCUAUUGUUUUAUUUAGUGUUUUGCAUUUAUUUGGCAAAAACGUGAUGAAAUAGCUAGCUUCUAAAUUUCCAUUUGUGUUGAACUGUAUUCACGGAGACAUUGAUAUUAUGGUGAGCCUCAGCCCUUAGCCCUUGCUCUGCUGUGGGUAACUGACGGGCACCUUCUCUUGAUCUUCCCCCGGGUGUCACAGAGUUUUGGUCUGGUCCCUUGAAUCAAAACUUGAACAAGGGAUAGGAACCAUAUGAUUAUUUCAAUAGGCGCAAAGAACUUGAUAAAAUCUAAUGCCCAUCAUAAUAAAAGCCCUCCACAAACUAGGAAUAAAGAAACUGCCUUAACCUGGUAAAAAGCAUCUGUGUAAACCCACAGCUAACAAAUGUAAUGGUAAAAGAGUGGGCGAUUUAGCCAGGAGCCGUGGUGAUCACCUGUAACCCUAGCAGCUUGGGAGGCUGAGGAAGGAGGAUCGUGAGUUCAAAGCCAGCCUUAGCAACUUAGGGAGGCCCUAAGCAACUCAGUGAGAUUCUGUAUCUACAUAAAAUACACAAUGGGGCUGGGGAUAUGGCUCAGUGGUCGAGUGCCCCUGAAUUCAAUCCCAGGUUGCUGCCCUCCAAAAAGAGCGGGUGUUUUGCUUUUAAGCUCAGGGACAAGUCAAGGAAGUACACUCUCACCACUGUUGCUCAGCAAUUCCUGUUUCAAGUGUGGCCACCAGAUGAUCACAUGGCUUUUUAUCUCUCAGACAAGGAUUGAUCCAUGGGUGAGGCUUUCAGAAUCCAGACUAAAAAUAUGUGACCCUCAAGGGGACAAUCAAUAGUGAAUCUAGCCAUGGCAGCUAGGGAAGAAAAGUUUUCAAAGAACAUUCUAUUGGAAAGUCCAGGGAAAACUGUCUUUAUUUGCAGAUGACAUGAUUUCAUAUAGAGAAAAUCCCAAGGAAUCCACACACACACUCAAAAAUUACUCGAGCUAGUAGACAAGUUCAGCAAAGUUCAGGAUGCAAAAUGGAUACACAAAAGCCAAUUGUAGCUGGGUAUGGUGGCACAUGUAAAUCCAGCUCCUCAGCAGGCUGAGACAGGAGGCUCCCACAUUUGAGGCCAGCCUGGGCAAUUUAGUGACACCCUGCCUCAUAAAAUAAAAUAAAAUGAAGAGGGCUGGGGAUGUAGAUCAGUGGUAGAGCACCCUGGGUUCAGUCCCUGGUACAACAAUAAGAACAGAGAUAAAGUCAAUAGUACUCUAUAUACUUUCAACAAACAGCCUAAAAAUGAAACUAAGACAGCAAUUCCUGGGACUGGGGUGGUGGCUCAGUGGCAAAGUGCUUACCUAGCAUGUGUGAGGUACUGGGUUCGAUCCUAAGCAUCACAUAAAAAUAAAUAAAUAGGGCUGGGGAUAUAGCUCAGUUGGUAGAGCGCUUGCCUCGCAUGCACAAGGCCCUGGGUUCAAUCCUCAGCACCACACACACACACACACACACACACACACACAAAAUAAUAAUAAAAUAAAAAUAAAAAAAUAAAAGAAAGCAAUUCCACUUACAAUAGCAUCAAAAGAACAAAAUACUUAGGAAUACACUUAACCAAAGAAGUAUAAGAUUUUUACUCUGAAAAUUGCAAGACAUCUAAAGACAAUAAAGAAGAAAUAAUAUAGGUAAAUGGAGAGAUAUCUCAUGUUCAUGGACUGAAGGACUUAAUAUUACUAAGAGAGCAAUAAUACCCAAAUUGAUCUACAGAUUCCACAUAAUCCCUAUCAAAAUCCCAUCUGGGCUGGGUUUGCAGCCCAGCGGUGAAGCACUUGCCUAGCAUGUGUGAGGCCCUGGGCUCCAUCCCCAGCACUGGGGGGAAGAAUCCAAUUGGUUUUUUUGGAGAAAUUGUCAAGCUGCUCCUAAAAUUCAUAUGUAUUCAAUGUAAGGGUCCAGAACAGCCCAAACAAUCUUGAAUAAUAAGAAAGUUGUAGGGCUGGGGUGGUAGUUCAGUGAUAAAGUGCUUGCCUAGCAUGAGUGAGACGCUGGGUUUGAUUCUCAGCACUGCAUGUAAAUAAAUUAAUUAAUUAAAAGUCCACUGACAACUAAAAAGAAUUUUUUUAAAAAAGUUUUCAAACUCACAUUUCCUGAUUUUAAAAUCAGUGAUUAAGACAGUAUGGUACUGGCAUAAAUGGAGACAUAUAAAUCAAUGGAAUGUAAUUAAGAAUCCAGAAAUAAACCCUUAUAUAUAGGUCAAUUGAUUUUUGAUAAAGGCACCCAAACCACUCAAUGGCCAAAGCCCAGUCUUUUCAACCCACAGUGUGACAACUGGGUAGACACCAACAAGAACACAGAGUGGGACACCUGCCUCCCACCGCACAUGGCGUUAACUCAAAAUGAAUCGAAGCCCUGAAUGGCGGAGCUAAAACUAAAAAAUCUUAGAGGAAAACGUAUGUAAAUCUUUGUGACCUUGGAUGAGAUAAUGAUUUCUUAAAUCUGACAUAAAAAGAAAAAAGAAAUAAGCAACAAUAACAACAAAAAAAGACAAAUUGUACUUUAUCAAAAUUAAAAAUGGGGCUGGGGUUGUGGCCCAGGGGUAGAGCGCUCGCCUAGCAUGCGUAAAGCCCUGGGUUCGAUCCCCAGUACCACAUAAAAAUAAAAUAAAGGUAAUGUGUCCACCUACAACUUAAAAAAAAAAUUAAAAAUGUGCCAGGUGAGGUGGCACACGCCUGUAAUCCCAGCGGCUUGGGAGUUUGAGACAGGAGGAUCAGGAGUUCAAAGCUAGCCUCAGCAACAGCAAAUUGCUAAGCAACUCAGUGAGACCCUGUCUCUAAAUAAAAUGCAAAAUAGGGCUGGAAAUAAGUUAACGAAUAACCCAAUCAACAAAUGGGACUUACUUAAACUGAAAAGUUUUCUCUCAGCAAGAGAAACAAUAAAAGAGGUAAAUAGGGAGCCUACAUCAUGGGAACAAAUUUUUACUCCUCACACUUCAGAUAGAGCCCUAAUAUCCAGAGUAUACAAAGAACUCAAAAAAUUAAACAAUAAGAAAACAAAUAACCCAAUCAACAAAUGGGCCAAAGACCUGAACAGACACUUCUCAGAGGAGGACAUACAAUCAAUCAACAAGUACAUGAAAAAAUGCUCACCAUCUCUAGCAGUCAGAGAAAUGCAAAUCAAAACCACCCUAAGAUACCAUCUCACUCCAGUAAGAUUGGCAGCCAUUAUGAAGUCAAACAACAACAAGUGCUGGAGAGGAUGUGGGGAAAAGGGUACUCUUGUACAUUGCUGGUGGGACUGCAAACUGGUGCGGCCAAUCUGGAAAACAGUAUGGAGACUCCUGGGAAAGCUGGGAAUGGAACCACCAUUUGACCCAGCUAUUGCCCUUCUUGGACUUUUCCCUGAAGACCUUAAAAGAGCGUACUACAGGGAUACUGCUACAUCGAUGUUCAUAGCAGCACAAUUCACAAUUGCUAGACUGUGGAACCAACCCAGAUGCCCUUCAAUAGAUGAAUGGAUAAAAAAAAAUGUGGCAUUUAUACACCAUGGAGUAUUACGCAGCACUAAAAAAUGACAAAAUCAUUGAAUUUGCAGGGAAAUGGAUGGCACUAGAGUAGAUUAUGCUAAGUGAAGCUAGCCAAUCCCUAAAAAACAAAUGCCAAAUGUCUUCUUUGAUAUAAUGAGAGCAACUAAGAAAAGAGCAGGGAGGAAGAGCAGGAGAAGAAGAUUAACAUUAAACAGAGACAUGAGGUGGGAGGGAAAGGGAGAGAAAAGGGAAAUUGCAUGGAAAUGGAAGGAGACCCUCAUUGUUAUACAAAAUUACAUAUAAGAGGUUGUGAGGGGAAUGGAAAAAUAAACAAGGAGAGAAAUGAAUUACAGUAGAUGGGAUAGAGAGAGAAGAUGGGAGGGGAGGGGAGGGGGGAUAGUAGAGGAUAGGAAAGGUAGCAGAAUACAACAGUCACUAACAUGGCAUUAUGUAAAAAUGUGGAUGUGUAACCGAUGUGAUUCUGCAAUCUGUAUUUGGGGUAAAAAUGGGAGUUCAUAGCCCACUUGAAUCUAAUGUAUGAAAUAUGAUAUGUCAAGAGCUUUGUAAUGUUUUGAACAACCAAUAAAAAAAAAUAGUGCUGGAGAUGUGGCUCAGUGGUCAAGUGUCCCUGAGUACCCCGCCCCCUGCCCCCCACCAAAUUUAAAAAUGUUGCUGGGAGCAGUGGUGCAUGCCUGUAAUCCCAGUAGCUUGGGAGUCUGAGACAGGAGGAUUGUGAGUUCAAGGCCAACCUCAGAAACUUAGUGAGGCCCUGAGCAACCCAAUGAGACCCUGUCUCUAAAUAAAAUACAAAAACGGGCUGGGGAUGUGGUUCAGUGGUUAAGUGCCCCUGGGUUCAAUCCACUGUACCGAAAUAAAUAAAUAAAUAAUAAGAAAUGUUGUGCUUCAGAGGACACCACAAAGAAAAGACAACCCACAAAAUAAGAGAAAAUAUUUGUAAAUCAUAUAUCUGACAAGAGACUUAUAUCUAGAAAAGACCAUUUAGGACUCAACCUAAAAAAGACAAAUUACCCAAAUAGCAAAUGGAUGAAGGCUGUGCAGUCAUUUCUAAAGAAGAUAUACAAAUGGCUAUGAGCACAGGAAAAGGUGCACAAUAUCAUUAGUCCCUAGGAAAAUGCAAAUUGGCCAUAAGGUAACAUCUCCCCCACUGGGAUGACUAUUAGGUGACAGACACAAUAGCAACUGUUGCUGAGGAUGUGAUCCAGUUGGAACCCCCAUACACUGAGGAGGGAACACAAACUGAUGUGACUGCUUUGGGAAACAAUUUGACAGUUCCUAAAAGAGAUAAACAUAGAAUCACUCUGUAACCCAGCAUAGAAUCACUCUAUGACCCAGCAAUCCUAUUCCUAGGUGUACCCAAGAGAACUGAAAACCUAUUUCCACAAAAGAACCCAUAGCAAGAUGAUUCAUAAGAGCUAAAAAGUGGAAACAGCCCAAGUGUCUAUCAGCUGAUAAGUCAAUAAACAAAAUAUCAUAUAGUUCUAUAAGGGAAUAUUAUUCUGCCAUAAAAAAGAGAGUGAAGUAUGGACACAUGGACAAUAUUGGUGCACCUUGAAAAUAUGUUCAGUGACCAAAGUCAGACAGUAAAGGCUACCUAAUGAAAUUUUGUACAAUUUUAUUAUAUGAAAUGCCCAGAAUAAUCAGAUCUAUUCCGAUAGAACAUAAAUUGGUGGUUGUUGGGGGGAUCCUGUGGAUAUGAAUGGAGAUGACCACUAAUAGGUAUGGAGUUUUCUUUUAGGCUAAUGGUGAUAAUUGCACAACUUUGUAACACUAAAAAUUAUUGAAUUGUGUACUUAAGUGUGGGGGCGGACAAAAUGGCUUGACUGCCAAGCCCUUUUCUUCUCUGUCCCUGGCAGUUUGGGGCUCACCACCCAUAAGACCCCAGGGAGCUGCAGUGGUUUCCCCAGGCUGCCCUCUGGCUGGGCGUCAGAGUUGGUUCAGAACCUGCUCGGGCAGGCUGGCCCUCUGAGAUGACCAGCACCUGUACCAUUCAGCUAACCCAGGAUUCUCUAGCUACGUUCCUGGGCCUCUGUUAAGCACACCUUGACCCCACCCACGAGCCUGAUGACUCUGACCCUGAACAUGCCCGUUCAGAUGGAUCUAAUGCCUCAAAAGACAGCAGAGAAAGGCCAGGGGUCACUGUGAUGCAGAUGGCGUGACUUACGGAAAAUGAGAGGGGGAUGGGCGGGUGUCAGUGGAUAAAGCAAGCAGGGCCCAGUUUUUACUUGUUGAGCUUGAGUUGGAGGGUCACAGGUGUCCACUGGACUAUUUUUUUCACUUUUUUGAAAGCCUGAAAAUUUUUGAAGUAAAAAGUUGGGGGAAAUUUUAAACCCCAAAUAAAUAAAUGAAUGAAGGUUUUGGAAAAAGGCCAAUCUUGAUAAACUGAUCAGUUGUACAAAUUCAGACACAUCUCUCAACUGUAUCUUUAUGUCGUAGAGAGAGUAGUAAUUAUAUCUGAGCGCUAUUUGUUAUUCUUCAUUAUUCUGUAGGUAAAACACCUAGAACAAUCCCUGGCAUUAAUAGUUGCUCAAUAAAAGGCACGGCUUGAGAAAUGAGCUGGGAGGACAAAACUAGACCAGAAGAGUUAUAAAUGUGCGUAUCCCAUCUGCAAGAGCUGACGACGUUUCUGUCCUUUUGACAGCUUUUCUCGGGUACUGCGGGAAACAGUGAGAGCACUAGCCCCCCAGAGUGACGUGGCGUUCAUGCUGUCAGAAGACGGCAGUGGAAAGGGAGCGGCACUCAUUACUGCUGUGGCCAAGAGGACACAGCAGUCACGGAAGGAGAACUAGGAGUCCCCAAGGUCGGGCCUGACGCACCUCGGAUACUCACCAGCCCUUCCUCUGGCAGAUGAGUGGGUCAGGCACCAAAAGGCCACCUCCCGACGGACUUCACCUUCUUGGUGGCUGAAAGAGGACCCCAGGUUCUCGGGUACUCUUAGCAUCUUGUUACUGGCUUUGCAGUGGCAUUAUAUGACAUCUCCAUUCGGUAUGUUUGGGCCAACAACAGCCCAACUUGUGAAAUUGAAGUCUCUGGCCUGAGAGAUCCCCUUUCUGUAAAUGGAGUCCUGAGCGCCAGUUCUCUGUGGCUCUGGGUCCAGUGGCUGCUGGGCUUGGGAACACAAUCAGUCUGCCCCCAUGGCCCGGGUGACUGAGUUCCUCCCGGAGAUGCUCGAGGAGUACCCUGGGUUGUCCACUUGUCAAUGAACAAUUCAGAGGAUGAGAGACUCAUGCAAUAAACCAGGGGAUUAUAAUCUAACUUGUGGCUCAACUCAUCACGUUGACUUCAAAUGUGAGGCAAGAACAAAGACUUUGGAGUGUUCAGCCCGAGAGGCAGAGGGGCUGGUUGGCCAGUGCCCCACGGGAGUCAUUCCGUGCUUGCAGGAAGCUGUACAAGCACCCUGUGGGAUCUUGUUCCUCAGUGUGGGUCACGGCAUGUGCUUGAGACAUCUUUUUCGUGGUUGCGUUGCUGCGUUG